CUUCCGCAGUGUAACUGUCACUGUUUUACUGCAGAGAUGGAGAUGCUACUGUAUGGACUCCUGCUGAUAAUUAUUUCAUCUGUUAGUGGUCAGUCUUUGACCUCCUCAGAUUCUGUGGUGAAAAAGCCUGGAGAAUCAGUGACUCUGUCCUGCACUGUGUCUGGAUUCUCAAUGAGCAGCUACUAUAUGGGCUGGAUCCGUCAGAAACCAGGGAAAGCACUGGAGUGGAUUGGAUAUAUAGACACUGGCUCAAGUGCAUAUUAUGCUCAGUCUCUACAGGGACAGUUCUCCAUCACCAAAGACACCAGCAAAAACAUGCUGCAUUUAGAGGUGAAAAGCCUGAAGACUGAAGACACAGCUGUUUAUUACUGUGCUAGAGACUCACACCCAGCGAACUGCGGAGCAGGCAGUGAAGCACUCGGCCCGGAUCUCAGAGACGGGAUAUCCUGGAGAGUAUGA